UACGGAGGGUGCAAGCGUUACUCGGAAUUACUGGGCGUAAAGAGUGUGUAGGCGGUUUUGUAAGUUGGGUGUGAAAUCCCUGGGCUCAACCCAGGAAUUGCGCUCAAGACUGCAAGACUUGAGUACGAGAGAGGGGAGUAGAAUUCCCGGUGUAGAGGUGAAAUUCGUAGAUAUCGGGAGGAAUACCGGUGGCGAAGGCGGCUCCCUGGAUCGAUACUGACGCUGAGACACGAAAGCAUGGGGAG
rnacentral:rRNA from 1 species